rnacentral:snRNA from 1 species
CUGCUUGCUUUGGCAGCACAGACGCUAAAAUUGGAAUGAUACAGAGAUUAGCAUAAUCUCUGUGCAAGAAUGACAUACAAAUUCGUGAAGCAUUCCAUAUUUUU